rnacentral:rRNA from 1 species
UACGUAGGGUCCGAGCGUUGUCCGGAAUUACUGGGCGUAAAGGGUGCGUAGGCGGGUCUUUAAGUCAGAGGUGAAAUCCUGGAGCUCAACUCCAGAACUGCCUUUGAUACUGAGGAUCUUGAGUUCGGGAGAGGUGAGUGGAACUGCGAGUGUAGAGGUGAAAUUCGUAGAUAUUCGCAAGAACACCAGUGGCGAAGGCGGCUCACUGGCCCGAUACUGACGCUGAGGCACGAAAGCGUGGGGAGCAAACAGGG